GAAAGCGGGAGAUUUGGCAACCAGUGCGCGUGGGUGCGCCGGCCCUUGCAGCUGGGGACUCUGGAGGCAGACCUUGCCCAAAGCCAGAGGCAGGAACUCCCCAGAUCCUCCCAGGGUAGCAUGGGAGGAUGCCGCCUCCUCCAGGAAGCUCUCUAGCGCUUUUCCGAGUCCUGGAGCCAGGCGGGACUUCUCUGUGGUCGCCUAGAAGGGUAUGAACUUAGGGCAUCCCCAUCUGGGCUGUGAAGGUUUCUGACUUGGGGACCAGGUGCUCAGACCUUCCUGGAUGCUGCUUUCCACAAUAUCUCUACCAGGCAGGCAGGUUCUCUUCAUUUUGCAAAUUUGGUGAAACAGCAUUUGUAAAACUUUAGAAGCUUCCUUGGCUCACACAGGUGGUAGUGGCCCUGUCAGGAUUUGACCCAGGCUCUCGGAUUCCAGAGUUCCUGAAUUUAACCACCUGUACUGUGAUGCCUCCUUAUCAUGUGUGCAUCGUGCAUUACUAUUUUUUAUAGCCUGUAGGGUACUGAGCACCAUGCACACCUACAGUGAUCACAGGCACUGCCUACUGGAAGGUCUUCUUUGGCUGGGUUCCAGUUUCCUCAGACGAUGUAGGGCAGGGAGUUCCACUUGUUAGCAUAUCCCACAGGGCCUUUCUCUUCAAAUGGACCCCAGCAGCCAACCACACAGCUGCCUCAGCAAGCGUAGGAGAUGGCACAUCAGAGACCAACAAUUGUCAGCACAGCAAAACUGGGCAUUUCUUUUCUUACUGAGCUUUGCAGCUACCUACACAGUUGUGUGUGGCAUCUCCUCCUGGGUGCAAGGACAUGAGAUGACAUCAGGGUCUUGCUGUGUCAUCCAGGCUGGAGUGCAGUGAUAUGAGCAUGGCUCACUGCAGCCUCGACCUCCCAGCUUCAAGCAAUGCUCCCACCUUGGCCUCCCAAAGCGCUGGGAUUACAGGCAUGAGCCACCAUGCCUGGCCAUUGCCAUUGCAAGUCUCACUUUGUCACCCAGGCUGGAAUGCAGUGGCACGAUUACAGCUUACCACAGCCUUGACCUCCUGGGUUCAGCUUCAGCUGGUUCUCCUGAACCUUGAAUUAUCUUAGGAAAGAUUGUAUUUUCAGGAAUUAAGUCUAUUGGAGACACAGCAGGACUCCACAGCCAGCUAGAUUUGGAUAAAAUGACUGCCUCAAGGCCAGUGUGUUGACUUCUGACCAGUCUCAUCUGAACCCACACCCUUUAACAUAUAUACAAAACACCUGAAGGGUUGGGCUGCCAGCUUUCUUUAGGAUGAUAGAGGGCAGGUUAAGUUUGUUUGACAUAACUAGAAGAGGUGGAGCCUCUUCCUAAUGGAGCAAGGUCCAUUUAUGGCAAACUGUGGUCCCCCACCACUAUCAGCUACUUCUGGAUAGCUUUUGCUUAAAGUUGAUGAGAUAUUGUUUCUUUCACUAGAAGAAAAUGAAUGAGUUGGUGAUCCCAAACUUUGGCCUCCAAAGGAAGCCUGGGCAGGUGACAAAUGUGUCCUAAGCGAGACUGCUGCUUCCAUGCUCAUGCUGGAGGUACAUUUGCCCUGAAAGAUGGAGCAAAAGUGCUGAAGCUUAGCACAGAGGAUUAAUGAAUAAGAACAAGGCUAUG
ensembl:lncRNA LINC00904 long intergenic non-protein coding RNA 904